rnacentral:lncRNA from 1 species
UCCUUAAGACGGGUGUUUUUUUAAUGAAUAAAGUGUGGUCUCCGUGGCCUUGUUUGUAUCCUAAAGGUGUCACGACCUUGGUAAUUAAAUCUCUCAAACCAUACAUAUUCGGAGAAUUAUUUCAACUUGCAAAUAAAGCUGGCAGCAACUUCAUAGCAUGAGACCUCUAUAAUUUCCUCCUUAAGCUUCCAUGUAAUUAGAAAGCAUAAAUUGCAGGAAGAGAUAACAUUGCCCGAAUUGUUUUCAUCUUUACAACCAGAGCGAAUAUCUCUAAGUAAUCCAUCCCAUAUGUUUAAGGUCUCUAAGUAAUCUAUCUCAUAGGUUUCAAGGAAACCCUUAGCAACCAACCUCACCUUGUCCCUCCUACUUGCCUUAUAUAUUUUACUAUACUACAUAUAUUCAUUUGCAACCAAUCAAUUUCUUUCCUUUUGUUUUGGCAAAGAAAUCAACUCGAAUGAAUGUUUUGUUCUUCUCCAAUGUCUUCAUUUCUCCAAGGAGAGGAAGCAAAAGCUAACAGUCUUCUUGAUUUGUUUCAGGAUGUUUUAUUACUUCAGAACCAGUUGGAGUUCAGACUUCAGAGAGCAUAGACACACACAUAAGUAGUCGAGAAUGAAGAAUAUAUCAACCUUUUUUCAGAUACAAUUAGAUAUCAUCUCUAGUUCAGGUUAAAAAAAUUUUCCAUGUACAAUUUGUGUACUUUCUCCAAGCAUGGACACCAUAUCUUCUAGUCCAAUUUGUGACGGAUCGGAAGAAUUUUGGUUAUAUAUGCAAA